GGCAAAUCUAGGAUUGGUUUAUUAUUUUUCCUGUCUACCUUUCUGAAUUAUCACUGCAAAAUUACUAUUUUUAUGCUUACAAGGACAUUCUCAGUGUUUGGAAUGCCUAGUUUCUGUAUCAGCUGUCUAUGCUGGUUCAAAUUUGUUAUUUUUUUUCCAUCUUACUCUUACAGCCAGAUUUCAGUGGAGAUACUUCUUUUCAGAAUGAGCAAACUGAAUCUCCAUCCAGAUUAAACGCACAAUUUGAGGGGAUGUGCCUUCUGUUUUCUACUUUUCUUUCAGCAGGUGGCAAAAUAUAUUUUCAUCUGUUGGGUUCAAGUGGAAAUUUUGAAGAAUAUAUCAGAAGUCAUGUUUGAAUCAGAGGCUAAUAUGAGAUCAAGCAGGUAACAUCAUUCUGUACAUCUUCUACUGCCUGACUUCAGAAGCUGACCACAUGUUCUUAUGAGUAAGCAAAAGUGACUUGGACUGAUUCUUCUUAAGCAGAGAAUGAAAGGAGAAGGCAUCUAUCAUGUCAAUGACCCAUGAAGUAAGAAGAAAUUAUAUAGUCUACCAUAAAGACACUGAAGGAGUCAUUAUAGCCUAUUAGACCCGGUCCUGCAGAUAUACCCUUAUACCCUUCGUUAAAGGAAGAGACUUGGCCCAAAGAACUACUUUUCCUUGGUGGAUGUCAUCUGUCUGCUCAGAACUGGUUUCCUUGCUGCCUUUUCUCACAGCCCUUCUGAUUGUUUUGGGUUUUUCUUCAUGGCUACCUAAACUUUACAAAGCAACAGCCAAUGAAAUUCUUCAAUUUUGGUGGGCCAAGUGAAGCCAUUUCUUUCUGAUUUUUUUUCUCCCCAAGAAGAUUUCUGAAAGAUCUGAAUAGUCUAUAGAAAAGUCUUUGUUACAUAGUCUUUGCUAUCAAAGUCUUUGAUACCCAUAAAUUCACAUUGCAAUAUAUAUAUAUAUAUAUAUAUAUUUUGGGGAAAAAAAGAUUUUCACAACAUUAGUUUUAUUUCUUUACUUAGCUAAUAUUAAAUAAUACUAAAGCACAAUACAAUAAUAAUAGAAAAAGGAAAGAUUUCUUAUCUGUGUUGAUGACUGGAUAGCCUUUAGCAAAUGUUUCACUGCUCUAGUCACAGCCUUUCAUUAAGGGUUCUGGGCAAAGAUACAAUACUAAUUUUUCAAGUAUGCUCUGCAAUCAUUUAAAUAUCAUUAAAUGUAAUAAAAAUGUAAACAAUGAAGCAUGACAAUCUAAACCCUUUAUUUUCUGUAUUCUAUGAUCACAGCAAGGGAGAUGACUUUCUGGUGCUCUAUGGAAAGUAGCACGCAUUUACAGUGUGAAAUAUAGACAUUGUUUUAAUAUGUGCUGACAUUUUUUGAAUUUUCAUAUUCUUUUGGACCACAAAAAUUCACUGUGAUACCAUUCUAUUCAAAUAAUAAGAUGCCAUGUGGUUGGGAUAUUAAUUACAUAGCACUUCUCUUUGAUAUCAAAUAUUGAUAAGCUUCCUUUAAAGUCCACAUCAUCUUUAUUUUAAUCCAUUUAUUAGGCAGCAG
ensembl:lncRNA